GCUGCCGGGGAACUCAUCUACUUCUCCGUCUUGCUUGCUGGAUCAAGAAGGCCAAGAUUAUUGUCGAGCUGUACGUGUGCUGAAUGCGGAGUUGUCGUCCAUUCGGCGCUAGAUCGGAACGGAUCGUGGGACGGAUCGCGGGAUGGUUCGUGGGAUGGUUCGAGGGAUGUGAAGACGUUCCACUACAUCAACCGCGUUUCUUAACGCUUCCCAGUGUGCGAUCUACAAGGGUACAUAGAUCUAAUCUCCACUCGUAGAUGGACAUCACCAUGAUAGGUCUUCGUGUGCGUAGGAAAUUUUUUGUUUCCCAUGCAACGCUCCCCAACAAAUACAGGAUGCCACAGUGACUCCUUCCGCUGCCAAUGAUUCAUUGCACUCUCAUAUUUGGAGUAGCUUAUCAAUAGUCCGUCUGAACCCUUUGGGAGUGGACCCAUGUUCGGGACUCCGUUGUCAGCCAACACUCUUGGGUUCGGUUGACUGCCCAAUGCCAUGUGGUCGUCCUCGGGCAAGGAAGGCUGUGCGCAUCUCCUGAUUCGAUCGGCCAAGGUCCUUAAAACGUGCAGGACGAAAGUUGCUACGGUAAGGUUUAAAAAUCGGUUUGUAUACCUUUUUGCCGAAGGGGCAACUGGUGUGGUUUCUUUCGCUACCUAUUGCUCAGGAAUUCCGCCCUUGCUUGACAAACCCCUACCGGUUUAGUAUGAAUAGUGGUCCGGCAUGCGCUCCGGCGACCCCUAGGCACGGCCCCUCGUCGGGCAACAGUUUUUCUCUUACUCCCUGAAGAGGGAAAGGACCUGGGUUUGUUGGCUAUAAGGGCCACCUUCUUCUCUUCAACACUCUCUUGAUAAAACACCUCGUCUUGAAAGAUAAUCGAAAGCUCUGGGUCUUCAUGAAACCGGGAGUCAUCUUUAUGGGCAAAGUCCUCGAGUUGGGGUGUGGGAUAGUUUACCAUCUCGAUCCAGUGGUUCCAGAGCUACGAAGGAGGUAUAGGAGUUAUAAAUCAAACAAUAAUGGGCAUGAAUGCCCAAAACUUUGAACAUGAACACAAUUACCCAUUCGACGGGGUUAUAUGCCGAAUAGCCAUCCUUCGGGGUGAGGCGGGUAAAAUCUUCUUUUUCCCCCUUGAAGAUAUCGGUCAGAAUGGCCCCUAAGGCCUUCUCGUCAUCCGGUCCUUGCCUUCUGGAUCGGGUUGAAUCGCUCGUCCCACUGUAAUGCCACAAAGGAUGUGUGCGAUGUUGGAGUGGUUGGACGCACUGGGUAAUCACUGCGGCCAUCACAUCAAUGAUAGUUAGCCAGCUAUGAGUAAGCACCCUGGCCUUGGAGGAUAGGCGCUUCACUUCAGAGCUGUCCUCGUGGGAAGAGCUCUUUGGCCCCCAGCUGAAUCGCUUCUUUAAAGGAAUCACAAAGUAUUCGGGAAGGCCUCUCCGAACUGGGUCAGAUAGUGGAACAUCCACAAUAUAAAACCAUUCCGAGGGCCACUCGUCAAGCUCCUUCUUCGACAUCCCAAUCGGGUAUCCUAUGGCGGCUAUGUGCCAUACUUCGGCUCCACCUACUUCCCGAAUUGUCAUUCCUCUAGUUCGGAGAAUGAUGGAGAAGUACUUUCUCCAUAGAUCAAAGUGGGGCUCGCAACCCAAGAACAUCUCGCAUAAGGCCACGAAGCCUUAGAUAUGAAGGAUGGAACUAUGGGUGAGAUUGUGGAGCUACAACCCGUAAAACUCCAAUAACCCCCUUAGGAAAGGGUGAAUAUGGAAUACCACCCCUCACAACAGGAAGGAAACGAAGCAAACCCGUUCUCCCCUUUGCGGGGAAGGGAAGUUUUCCGCGAAGGCUUUUCCAUCAAUGGAGGUCAGACCGGUGUGAGUGGGUGCGAGGUCUGAUUGGGGAAGAUACCCCUGAGUUUUGAGCUCGUGCGGGCGGAUGAGAGAAACGGUGCAACUAGCCUAGUCCCCCGAAAGGGGGCCGAGGGGGCUUGAAGAGGAACAUUCCAUGACUCCGGAGAUGUUAAGAGCUCUAGGGUUUCUUCGCGAGGCUGGGAGGCGAUGGAGCCUCAAAACAGAUCUCGAUCUGUUUACAAAGGGUGUUAACCCCUCUUGUUAUAGGGAUUCAUCAUUUCUUGCUCGGAGGAUACAGAGGAACAUGCCUUGCAUACUGAACACUUUGGGCGUGAUCAUCCGAAGACCCUACACAUUAGCAUGGAAGGCUACUUCAGGGGCUACUAAGAGAGUCCGGGAUUAAGGGGUCCUCAGGUAGUUGGCUUACUAUGAAGAGGUUAGCCUGAUGGACCGUACAAGUUGGAGGUUGGGUGUCUCGUGCUUAAGGAGGAAAGCACCGAAGACCGGCAUGACAUCCAAGUAAUGUAGAUUAGGUCGAUUGUAUGUAACCCUAGGUCCCGGAUACGUCUCCGUCAUAUCUACUUUUCUGAACUCUUUUGCCCUUGUUUUGGACUCUAAUUUGCAUGAUUUGAAUGGAACUAACCCGGACUAACGCUGUUUUCAGGAGAAUUACCAUGGUGUUGUUUUUUUGCAGAAAUAAAAGUUCUCGGAGUGUUGUGAAAAUUUACGGAGAAUUUUUCUGGAAUUAAUGAAAAAUACCUGCGCAAAGAUCCACCGGAGGAGGUGAGCCAGUGGGCCACAAGCCCAGGGGGCGCGGCCACCCCCCCAGGCCGCACCAACCAGGCUUGUGGGGUCCACGAGGCUCCACCACCUCCAAACUCAGCUCUAUUUAUUCCGUUUCACCCGGAAAAAAUCAGAGAGAAGGAUUCAUCGCAUUUUACGAUACGAAGGUGCCGCCACCUCCUGUUCUUCAUCUGGAGGGCAGAUCUGGGUUCCGUUCUGGGCUCCAGAGAGGGGAAAUCGUCGCCAUCGUCAUCAUCAACCUUCCUGCAUCACCAAUUCCAUGAUGCUCUUCACCGUUCGUGAGUAAUCUCAUUGUAGGCUUGCUGGACGGUGAUGAGUUGGAUGAGAUCUAUCAUGUAAUCGAGUUAGUUUUGACGGGGAUUGAUCCCUAGUAUCCACUAUGUUCUGAGAUUGAUGUUGCUACUACUUUGCCAUGCUUAAUGCUUGUCACUAGGGACCGAGUGCCAUGAUUUCAGAUCUGAACCUAUUACGUUGUCGCCAAUAUAUGUGUGUUUUAGAUCCUAUCUUGCAAGUUGUAGUCACCUACUAUGUGUUAUGACCCGGCAACCCCGGAGUGACAAUAGCCGGAACCACUCCCGGAGAUGACCAUAGUAUGAGGAGUUCAUGUAUUCACCAAGUGUUAAUGCGUUGGUCCGGUUCUUUAUUAAAAGGAGAACCUUAAUAUCCUGUAGUUUUCAUUAGGACCCCGCUGCCACGGGACGGAUGGACAAUAGAUGUCAUGCACGUUCUUUUCCCUAAGCAUGUAUGACUACAUAUGGAAUACAUACCUACAUUAGAUUGACAAAUGGGAGCUAGUUACAUAUCUCUCCGGGUUAUAGUUGUUACAUGAUGAAUCACAUCCGGCAUAAUCAUCCAUCACCGAUCCAGUGCCUACGAGUCUUUUACUACUAGUCCUUUCUACGUUACAUUGUCGCUACUACUGUUGCUGCUGCUGUUGUUACUCUGUUGCUACUGCUGUUACUCUACUGCUAUUGGUUACUGGUGUUACUUGCUACUGUUGUCACUACUGUUGUUACUUGUUACUUUGCUGCUACCUGCUGCAAGACUUUUCUGGCGCCAUUGAUACAACAAGUCAGGAAUAGCCUGCCGUCAACACACCUUUUUCUGGCACCGUUGCUAACGUACCACUUUGCUACUGAUACUUUGCUUGCAGACACUAAUCUUUCAGGUGUGGUUCAAUUGACAACUCAACUGCUAAUACUUGAGAAUAUUCUUUGGCUUCCCCUUGUGUCGAAUCAAUAAAUUUGGGUUGAAUACUCUACCCUCGAAAACUAUUGCGAUCCCCUACACUUGUGGGUUAUCAAGACUAUUUUCUGGCGCCGUUGCCGGGGAAGCACAACUAUAUUCUCUGACUCACUUGGAAUUUACGUCUGCUGAUCACUAUGAGGAAUCCGAUAGAUCCAAGAACUAAAGUCUUGCCCUCAACUACGAGGACAGGUAAGGAACUGCCAUCUAGCUCUGCACUUGAUUCAUCUUCAGUUAUGAGUAAGUUUGCAACAUCACCUCCUGCUAGAAAUCUUGAUAUGUCGCCUGUGCUUGAUGAUGCUACUUCUGCUUCCCAUGAUGCUUAUGAUGAUGCUAUGCUUGAUACUAUGCCUGAUGAUGCUAUGCUUGAUACUAUGCCUGAUGAUGCUAUGCUUGAUACUAUGCCUGAUGAUGCUAUGCUUACUACUUUGCCUGAUGAUGCUAUGCCUGAUACUGCUUUGCCACUAGGUGCAUUCCUUGAUGCACAAAUUGCUAGAGUUGCUUCUAGAUGUGAUGAUAUUUCUGAAACUGCUGAUACUAUUGAAGUAGAACCUGCUAUUUUGCCUGCUAGAACUAGCUCUCCUAGACCUGAUAUGCCUGUUAUGCCUGAGCGUUAUGUUAUGGAGGGAGAGAUAGCUGAGGAUUUUCUUGCGUGUAAGGAUAGCUAUGAUGUUGAGAAAUUACUGCGCAAGUGGAAAUAAAAAUGUCUAAACACGAGGAUGAAAUACGACCCGAAGUUUGCCACUUCACCUAUCUUUGUGACCGAUAAGGAUUAUGAAUUCUCUGUUGAUCCUAAGUUAAGCACCCAUGCCCUUUCCUCCCAAACCAUCCAAGAAAAAGGAUGAUGAGGAUUUUGAGCGCUUUGUUGAAAUGAUUAGACCUGUCUUUCUACAAAUGUGUUUGACGAAUAUGCUCACGAUGUCUCUGUAUGCGAAGUACAUGAAAUAUAUUGUGACUAAUAAGAGGAGGAUACCCGAGGUUGAGAUUUCCACCAUGCUCGCUAAUUAUACCUUCAAGGGUGGAACUCCCAAGAAACUAGGUGAUCCCGGUGUGCCCACUAUACCUUGCUCCAUUAAAGGCAACUACGUUAGAACUGCGUUAUGCGACCUUGGAGCCGCUGUUAGUGUUAUGCCUCUCUCUCUUUAUCGUAGACUUGAACUGGAUAAGUUGACACCCACUGAAAAUCUCUGUGCAAAUGACCGACAAAUCAACUGCUUUCCCUAUCGCCAUUUGCGAGGACGUGCCUGUUGUGGUUGCUAACGUCACUAUCUUAUCAGACUUUGUUAUCUUGGAUAUUCCCGAGGACAAUGCCAUGGAAGUCAUCCUUGGAAGACCCUUUUUAAACACCGCACGGGCUGUUAUAGAUUGCAACAAAGGCAAUGUCAUUUUCCAUGUCAACGGUAAUGAGCAUACGGUGCACUUUCCGAAGAAACAAUAUCGAGUACAUUGCAUCAAUGCUAUCGAAAAAACUUCAUCGAUUCUUAUUGGGAGCUUUGAAUGCCCUAUUCCUUGUGUCAAGAUGAAGUAUGAUUCGCUUGUUGGGGAAAUACACAUCGCCAUUGAGGUGACAUAGUGACUAUUCGAAAAUUCUCCGUCUUCUUUUGCGAUUCGAGAAGUUUUGUCGAGGGGAAUUUGAUCAACCCCAUUGACGGAUUUCUUUCGAUGACCAUGAGAUGGAUGAAUCAAGGAGUCACAAACCUCUGUUUUAAGCUUUCAUCUUUGGUUGCUUAGAAGAAAGAUGAUAGAUUUAGUUUAGUUUUCCCUGUUUUCUGUUUUAGCGUCCGGUAGAAAAGUACCGCGAAAAUAAAAGUUCUCCGAACGUCGUGAAAAUCAAGUAUGAUUUUUGCUGGAUUUUUUGAAAAAUACUGAGACGAAGAGCUUGUCUGGGGGCUGCACCAGUGGGCCACAAGCCCAGGGGGCGUGGGCACCCCCUUUCCGCGCCACCCAGGCUUGUGGGGUCCACAGGCACCCCCUCCACUCAUUCUUGCUCUCAUCUGGUUCUCCUACCUCCAGAAAAAAUCGUUUCGCAACUCAAACCUGUGUUCUUGCUCCUCUUGCUGGGAUUUCUGAUUUCUUUGCUGAAAGCACCAUUCUCCGAACUGUUUUGGGGAAAUUACUCCUUGUUAAGUGACUCCUCCAUUGGUCCAAUUAGUCUUUGCUCUAGUGCCUCAUACUUCGCGUAUUUUUGCUGCCUUGAUGACCAUGUUCUUGAGCUUUGCAUGCUAAUUUUAGAUGGUCCCAAGUAGUUUUGAUGCGUAAUAUGGCCUCUAGGCACUUGUGGGGGUAGUUGCUACGAGUUUUGUUGAGCCUUGUUCACUUUUCCUUAGAGUCACUAAAAAUUUCAGAAAUUUUCAGAGAUAGAAAAGGGAAAAUAUGAGGAGGUUCUGAAGAGGCUCUUCAAGCCGUGACCCCAAGGAUGAUGGGAGUGAGAAGAAGCCCAAUUAUCUGGUCCGUCGAGUCCUGGAAGUUCGAGCGUGCGAGUGGCCAAGCGACGUGUUCUUACGCGCCGCCGGAAUUUAUGAGGACUUUUAUCACUCGGUGGAGAACGCAGGCCUUACCGCCUUCGUUGAAGAUAAGUGUCUGCAAUACCUCCUCCUCACUAAUAUCUUCGUACAAAGCUUUAACUUCUAUCCAAGGAAGAAUCCUCCUAUGGUUGUGUUCAAACUUUAUGAUAUCCCCCAGGGCAUGUCACUCCAGGAUUUUUGCAAUGUUUGCAAAUUACCUUACGUUGGGGAUAUUCGUGAAUCUCGUGCACGGGACUUAGAAUCUUUCAUCGAUACAAUUGCCGUAGGAGAGGAGAGAGGAGUGUCUUGUGCUAGAGCUGCUAGCAUUCAUUUUCCCGUGCUUCGGUACUUCUCAUUAUUUGUGGGAAAAUGUUUGAUUGGCCGUGGGAAAGCUGGGUCACUUAGUUCCCCAGAUCUUAAGGUCUUGCGCGAAGCACUUUAUAAUGAUAAAACUUAUAGCUUGGGCGCUAUAGUAGCUCAAUGGUUGAACACGAACCGUUAUAAAGGCAUUGUCUAUGGAGGUAUCUAUGCUACUCGUCUUGCCGGACACUUUGAGAUACCUAUUAGACUGGACGAGGAAGAAGAGAUUCUUCUUCCCAAAAAAUAUCUAGAUUAAGAUAGCAUGGUUCGCCAUGACUUUCUUUAUAGAGAUAUAAAUAGAAGGAUGAUUUAUAACCUGGUAUUUAGCCAGGGUACUCGUGAGACUAUUACUUUGCCUGCUCCUUCUUUGUUCAAUCUUCAUGCAGGGAGGUACAUUAUUAUGCCCUCGGACAUCACCGCAUAUUGGGGCUUGGCCCAACCAUAGGUGCCCAUGCCCGAGCCACCAGUCGAGUACCAGAUGCCAGUUUAUCAGUGGGAGCCACAGGAGCUCACACAGCAGUGGCAUCGUCAGUCCACUCUGGAGUACCCCGGAGCUGGUUAUUUCCCUCCUUGGGAGUAUACCAACUUAGGCCAAAAGUGUAAGCUUGGGGGAGUACGUGUUUCUCACCGACUUUACAUUCUUGCUUAUGCUUUCACUUUGUUCGUUGGUGUUCACACUUUGCCACUGUAUCAUCCAUGCUAGUUUAUUUUCUUUUUCUCAUUUUCUUUUCGUGUGUUUGCCUAGUUUGAGAAAACCCAAAAAGAUUUUCUUUUUCUUCUUUUGCUUGUUGGGAGCUUUCUCGUGUAAAUAGUUUUCUUUUCUUUGGGUCAAGGUAGAAGACCAUGGUUACAAUGUUUAGUGGCUCUUGCAUGCAUACCUGUUUUGCUUUCAAAGAGCCAUAUUACUUUGUCUUCUCCUUUGUGUUUUCCUACAGGUUCCAGCUUUAGUCCAAUGCACGAGCACUCUUAUUAUUGUUUUUAUCGUUCGAUCGUACAAGUGAAAGGCAAUAAUGACGAUAUAUGAUGAAGUGACUGAGCCUGGAAAAGCUGGUAUGAACUCGAUCUAUUUUGUUCUUGUAAAUAUGACUAGCUCAUUGUUCCUAGUUCAACUUUGUUGUGAGAGAAACAUGUUUGCAAUGACAACUUAGAGAUCAUAGUUGCUGAUGCCAUGCUUACUUAGCUAGGAGCUUAUAAUGGUCUGUCUUGGUUGGCAACAUGAAUGUUGAGAUGACUAUGAUGUAGUAUGAUAGGAUGGUAUCCUCCUUUGAAUGAUUCAAGCGGCUUGACUUGGCGCAUGUUCACACAUGUAGUUGAAACAAAAUCAACAUAGCCUCUAUGAUAUUCAUGUUCAUGGUGAUUUAUGUCCUACUCAUGCUUGCACUCAAUGUUAGUUUAUCUCAAUGCAUUUUGAGGACCGUUGUCGCUCUCUAGUUGGUCGCUUCCCAAUCUUUUGCUUGCCUUCACUUGUACUAAGCGAGAAUACUGCUUGUGCAUCCAUUUCCAUAACCCCAAACUUGUUCCAGAUGAGUCCACCAUACCUACCUAUGUGCGGUAUCUACCUAUCGUUCCAACUAAAUUUGCAUGUGCCACUCUCUAAAUCUUCAAGAAAUAAUCUAUUUUGCAUGCCCUAACCGCUCAUGUAGUGACAGGGGGCUAUUAGUAUCUUCCAUGCUAGGCGUGUUAUCCUCGAUAUGUGUUUAUUCACUAUCAUUCAUGAGAAAGGGGCCGGUAAUUGGAAUUCCCAGUUCCAUGCUCAAAUCGAAAAGAUAAUUGCAAACAAAACUCCCCCAGGAUUGAUGUUGGUAUGGAUGGUACCCGAGGAUUCGGCUAGCCAUGGAGUGUGAUUGAUUGGUGGUGGGGGAGUCAAAACUUUACUUUUUUGUUUGGGAACCGCCUAUAGCAUGUGUAGCGUGGAAGAUGUUGAGAACUCUUAGUCAUUGCGUCGACAAUGAAAGCAUGCCACCGAAAAUUAUUAUCUCUGUUUUCAAAGCUUGAGCUCUGGCACCUUUGCAAAUCAAUGCUUCCCUCUGUGAAGGGCCUGUCUAUUUAUGUUCCUGUUGAGUCAUCCUCCUCUUAUAAAAGCUCCAAUUAGAGAGCACCUCUGUCAUUUUUAUGCUUUUGUUUUAACUAUGUUGGGUAUGACUGUGACUGGAUCUUCUUUGCCAUGAAUUACAAUGUUUAGUCAGCCCUUGGUCUUUGAAGGUGCUCUGCAUUUAUGUUUUGCGGUCUCAGAAAGAGCUAGCGAGAUACCAUCUGUUUGCACUGAUUCAUGUUGUUUUGAUUGAAGUGUUGACAUUUGAGGCUUAUUAUUAUUUUCUCGCUAGUUGAUUAUGCCAUUGAUAUGAGUCUACCGUGAGACCUAGAUGUCAUUUUCUUAUGUGGUUUGCUUGUGAUCUUGCUGAAACUAUGGAUAUGAGUUAGACAUAGUUGCAGCAACAAGAUCAAACAGAGUUCGUCGAAGUUUUUCUUUUGUCUCUUUCAGUUUGUCAACUGAAUUGCUUGAGGACAAGCAAGGCUUUAAGCUUGGGGGAGUUGAUACGUCUCCGUCGUAUCUACUUUUCCGAACUGUUUUGCCCUUGUUUUGGACUCUAAUUUGCAUGAUUUGAAUGGAACUAACCCGGACUAACGUUGUUUUCAGGAGAAUUGCCAUGGUGUUGUUUUUGUGCAGAAAUAAAAGUUCUCGGAAUGUCCUGAAAAUUUAUGGAGAUUUUUUCUGGAAUUAAUGAAAAAUACCUGCGCAAAGAUCCACCGGAGGAGGUGAGCCAGUGGGUCACAAGCCCAGGUGGCGCGGCCACCCCCCAGGCCGCACCAACUAGGCUUGUGGGGCCGACGAGGCUCCACCGCCUCCAAACUCAGCUCUAUUUAUUCCGUUUCAGCCGGAAAAAAUUAGAGAGAAGGAUUAAUCGCGUUUUACGAUACGGAGGCGCCGCCACCUACUAUUCUUCAUCUGGAGGGCAGAUGUGGAGUUCGUUUUGGGCUCCGGAGAGGGGAAAUCGUCUCCAUUGUCAUCAUCAACCUCCCUCCAUCGCCAAUUCCAAGAUGCUCUUCACCGUUCGUGAGUAAUCUCAUCGUAGGCUUGCUGGACGGUGAUGAGUUGGAUGCGAUCUAUGAUGUAAUCGAGUUAGUUUUGACGGGGAUUGAUCCCUAGUAUCCACUAUGUUCUAAGAUUGAUGUUGCUACUACUUUGCCAUGCUUAAUGCGUGUCACUAGGGCCCGAGUGCCAUGAUUUCAGAUCUGAACCUAUUAUGUUGUCGCCAAUAUAUGUGUGUUUUAGAUCCUAUCUUCCAAGUUGUAGUCACCUACUAUGUGUUAUGACCCGGCAACCCCGGAGUGACAAUAGCCGGAACCACUCCCGGAGAUCACCAUAGUAUGAGGAGUUCAUGUAUUCACCAAGUGUUAAUGCAUUAGUCCGGUUCUUUAUUAAAAGGAGAACCUUAAUAUCCCGUAGUUUCCAUUAGGACCCCGCUGCCACGGGAGAGAUGGGCAAUAGAUGUCAUGCAAGUUCUUUUCCCUAAGCACGUAUGACUAAAUACGGAAUACAUGCCUACAUUAGAUUCACGAACGGGAGCUAGUUACAUAUCUCUCCGUGUUAUGGCUGUUACAUGAUGAAUCACAUCCGGCAUAAUCAUCCAUCAGCGAUCCAAUGCCUACAAGUCUUUUACUACUGGUCCUUGCUACGUUAGUUUGUCGCUACUACUGUUGCUGCUGCUGCUAUUACUGUGUUGCUACUGCUGUUACUCUGGUACUACUCGUUACUGCUGUUACUUGCUACUGUUGUUACUUGUUACUUUGCUGCUACCUUCAGCAAGACUUUUCUGGCGCCAUUGAUACAACAAGUCAGGAAUAGCCUGCCGUCAACAGACCUUUUUCUGGCACCGUUGCUAUCAUACCACUUUGCUACUGAUACUUUGCUUGCAGACACUAAUCUUUCAGGUGUGGUUGAAUUGACAACUCAGCUGCUAAUACUUGAUAAUAUUCUUUCGCUUCCCCUUGUGUUGAAUCAAUAAAUUUGGGUUGAAUACCCUACCCUCGAAAACUGUUGUGAUCCCUACACUUGUGGGUUAUCAGUCCCCUAGUGAUUAUAUAAACCGAGGGUCCUCAUCCAUGUAGACAGGUUGAUUCACCUAGGGUUUAGUAUACAUGAUCUCGAGGUAGACUCUGUAAUCAUCAUCCACAUCGAUAUAAUCAAAAAGGACGUAUGGUUUUACCUCCUCAAGAGGGCCCGUACCUGAGUAAACAUUGUCUCCCCAUCUGUCCUGCAACCCAUCUAUCUAAGAUCCACAGUUCUGGAACCCCUACCCGAGAUCUGCCAGUUUCGAUGCCGACAGCUUGCCCCCUUCAAAAAGUCAUCCACGACCUUGAUGACCAUGGGCAGGAAUGGAACCAAGAUGAGGUCGUUAGACCGUCAUGCCAUUGUGCCUAGACAACGCGUGGAUUCAUCACAUGUUCAUGUACAUGGGGCUCAAAAUGAUGCUAUAGUCGCUAAAAAGCAAGAAAAUUUGUACAUAUGGUAUAAAAUGUCGCUAAUCGACUUUUUUCCCAUCUAUAAAACUUUGUAAUACAAUGUUAACCUCAAAUUAGUAUUUUUAAUCUGUUGAAUUGAGUGUGAGACUAUUAAAUUGAUGAAAAAGAAAACAAAAUAUCUAGAGCUAACAAAUAUGAUGACUAUGUUUUUACAUAUGGUCUCCGUAGGCUCCAAAUGCAUAUGGAAUAUGAUCCAUAUAUAUUGUGAAGGUUGCCCAUAUUACGAUUGGUCUAGACUUGAUCUUAGAGCAUCUCCAACCGGAUUGGGCAAAUAUGCCUUCACAUGUCCACGGACAACAUCUGCUUUCCCUCAUUUGUCCUUGGCCUCAACCGCCCCCUCAUUUCCCCUUCCCAAAUCAAUACAAAUCCAUGCAACGUCGAUCACGCAGGAAUGAAAAUAGUACACACUAGUAGAAAAUGCCCAUUUGUCCCGGUUCCAGAGGCCCAUUAGCCCCGGUUCUUGAACUAGGACUAAAUGGUCAGGACUAAAGCCCAAAACCUUUAGUCCCGGUUCGCUUACGAACGGGGACCGAAUGGUCUCCACGUGGCCGCUACGGCGAGCCCGAGCAGGAGGUUCUCUAGUCCCGGUUGUCCACACCAACCGGGACAACAUGGUAUCCACGCGUCAGCAUCUGCCCGGGCUGCGGUUUUUGUUUUUUUAUCGCGGGGGGGGGGAGGGGGGUUGGAGGGUUAAUUUAGUGGUUUCAUAUUGUGUUAGCUAGCUAAUAGAGAGAAGUGUCCUCUCUUUCUCCAUGCUUGGUCGACGCUAACUACUAUACAUAUAGAGAGAACAUGACGCUAGCUAAUAAGAAAAUGAAGGAAAUGAUUUACAAUACUUAACAUCUUUUACAAUGCCUAACAUCAUCUACCAAAGAUACAAUCACAAAUAUCCCACAUGAUAUUCUCCGUCGCUAGGUAUGACGUGGUCAAGAAGGAAACCCGCCAAUUCCUCUUUAAUUGCUCGUAUGCCAUCAUCUGAUAGGCGUUCAUCCCGCUUCUUCCAGAUCUAAUUUAAAGAAUGGAUCAAUACAUGCAUAUAUAUGAAUAAAACUCAACACAAUUGAAGGUAAUAUAUAAGAUAAAAUUGUGAAUAUUACUUACGUACUUCAAAUUGUUCGUCAGAGAUACCCCGCCCAGAGGUCGAGAGACGAAUGAACUCGCAUACGUAGUAUGCACAUUUUUCAGUCCCAACUACCUGGUACAAGCACUUUACGAGAAUAUAUAGAGUUCAAUCAAACUAAUAAGCAAGCAUGGUAAUGAUAUAUUGAUGAAAAUUUCAAUCAAUUAGAGAUGCGCGGAACUAGCUAGCUAGUACUACUUACUGGGGUGCGUAAACUGCAACUCUUUACCGCGAACCUUAUUCGUGAACUUCUUCCAAAUCCUGCCAGGAAAAUAAAAUGAAUACUUGAUAUCAGGAAAUUAAGGAAAUUUGCAUGCCGGUAUGGUCCCGGUAUUGAGUGAACUUACUUCUUAAGCAUUGCAGUCAUGUCCGCAUAAUCCUCGGACAAUUACUUUUGCCGCGUCAAGCUUAAUGGAUAACAGAAUCCAGUGGUAACUGUGCACACAUAUAUAACUCAUCAAUUACAUUUACUAAUUAACCUCGAGUAAGCGAAACCGAGUAUACAGAGAAGACAACAACACUCACCUGAAGUUGUAAGGAAAGAGUAUUUCCCUUUUGUUUCGAUUUACAAGCAACGAAUUUAACAACUUAACAUCGGUCUCUUUGGUUUCAUUUCGUACCGACAAUACAUUUACCGAUUCUGGGCUAAUGAACCCAACGUCGAAGAUUCCUACUUUUCUUCAUUCGGCGAUCUUCAAUCUGCAUAAUAUAUAUAGUGAGGACAAUUAUAGAUACAUGCAAUGAACGAGCUGAUCUAGAGACUUAACUAUAAAAGUAAUACUUACAAACAGUAGCAAGUCAGGAGUUGUUUGUUGAGGGAUAGGUCAUUGUAUAACUGAAAUAACUCCUCAAAUUCAACAAGCACCACUGUAGCUCCAAUAAAUUUUCUCCUUGAAGAUGUUCAUGUACCACUCAUGCAAUUCGUGCAUCCUCGGUGUUAGAGGAGGAUGACCAGGUUUGACAAGAGGCUUCCCGAGCACGAAUUUAUAUAAUUUUUCUUUUAUUACCUCGUCCAUCUUAAAAAUUACUGAAUCGCUCACGUAAUCACCAGGAUUGGUACCGGGCAGCAACCCCGAAUCAUUAGCGACGACGAUAUCGCUAGACACCUUGAGUGGGGGGCACGAUUGCUUCUUCUGUUGGUCAAGCUGGGGAAUUGUUUUCCCACUUCUUCAUUUUGCUAACAUUGCAUCACUGCUAGCCGCCAGAGCGACGGUGGAGUCUGUCUUCCGCUUGAGAGAAGGAGGAGGAGGCGGCAUCUUUCUUACUUGUAUAACUUUCGGCGGAGCGGCGACGACGUCUGUCUUCUGCUGUUGCAGAGGAGGCGGACUGCUCCGACGCGCCUGAGGAGGAGCCGAAGGAGGAGGACUUCUCCGACGCGCUGGAGGAGGAGCCGAAGAAGGAGGUGGACUGCUCCGACGCGCUGGAGGAGGAGCCGAAGAAGGAGGCGGAGUGCUCCGACGCACCGGAGGAGGAGCCGAAGGAGGAUGACUGCUCCGACGCGCUGGAGGAGGAGCCGAAGAAGGAGGCGGAGUGCUCCGACGCGCCAUAGGAGGAGACAAAGAAGGAGGCGUACUGCUCCGACGUACCGGAGGAGGAGUCGAAGAAGGAGGCGGAGUGCCCUCACGCGCCGGAGGAGGAGCUGAAAAAGAAGGCGGAGUGCCCUCAUGCGUCGGAGGAGCCGGAGUGCCCUGAUCAUUCGCUGGAGGAGGAUGAGGAGUGCCCUGAUCAGUCACCGGAGGAGUAUGAGGAGUGCCCUGAUCACUCGCUGGAGGAGGAGGAGGCGUCCAGUUUGGAAGAUUGAUGCACUCCUUCGGCCAUAAACAUGUACUCCUCAAAGCAUGAACCAGCUUAUUCUCAUCUUCACAUGUAGGGUGGUCAAGCUCGAGCUGCUCAAAAUCCUUCUUUACUUCAUCCACCAUCACAAGAGCAUAACCACGUGGAAUCGGACGGCAGUGAAAAGUUCCGUUGGAUUGAGGACGUGCAACAAUGCCGAUAGCAGCCUUGAAAGUGAGGUUCCGGCAUUUUGUCAAAAGCUCGCAAGGUUGAGACUCCUUGAUAGUAUACACGGGGUAGCUAGGAGCCGUGAAGUCAGACGACCACGCUGCUUCUCCGCUGAGAUGGCGGGAUAAAUUCUGGGGUAGUUUCGUGCCGCUGAGAUGGUUGGUCGACAGCUCGCUGGCUUUGAAGUUCCUCUAGAAUUUGUAGUCUUGCAUUGAUCUUCUGCAUGUCUCUCAGCUCCGCUUUCCUCUUUCUCGCUCGGAUUCUGUAACCGGCUGCGUCGGGAAACCCAACCUUCCACGGAAUAGAGCCUGGUGUGCCUCGUGUUCGUCCAGGGUGCUCAACAUUCUCUAGGGCCUCGGUCAGUUCGUCCUUCUCUCUUUUGAGAAAGAACGCCCCUUCCUACGCUGCGGUGAUACACUGCUGAAUCUUGUUGAUGGGUGUUGCAAGUUGCUCGUCCGUCCAACGACACUCCCCUGUUUCAGGGUCCAAAUUUCCCCCAACUCCGAAGAACCAAUUCCUUGAUCGGUCGGGCCAGUUCCAUGUCUGUGGUUGGACCCCUUUAGCAAUGAGGUCAUUCUCAGCUUUGUCCCACAACGGACGACCUUUGAGGUAGCCACCCAACCCCGUGUGAUGGUGAUACUGCUUCUUUGCAGCAUUGUUCUUGUUUCUCUCUGACAUUUCCUUACUCUAAUCCGAUGACUUGUAGGCCACAAAUGCGGGCCAGUGAUCUCUAAUCUUCUCAAAUCGGCCGACGAAUUCUGGAGUCUUCCCUUGGUCGACAUACUUUGAUUUCAACUCUUUCUUCCACCUCCUGAAUAGUUCUUCCAUCUUCUUAAGAGCACACGCCUUGACCAGUGGCUCUAUAACUGGGUUAUUCGGAUCCUCCUCUGGUGGUAGGGUGAAAUUUUUCCUUCAACGCGGUCCAAAGAUAAUCUUUCAGCCUAUCAGUGACAUAAUGACCUUCAGGGAGGUUGUCGCCCUUAGGCUUAUUCCAUUGCUUGAUGCUUAUCGGGAUGUUUUCCCUGACAAUAGCUCCGCACUGAGUAGAAAAUGCGUCCCUGGUCUGCUUGGGUUCAAUCGGUUGGCCAUCGUUCGACAGUUCUGUGAUCGUGAACUUUUGAUCCUUGCCCAACCUUCUCGUCGGGCCUCGUCUCGUUACCGAAGUUUGGCCCGAUCCGGACUUUUCAAUAGCUCCCUCCUCCGUUCGGUCACCGGAGCCGUCAUCAUGGUCUCCUUCCUCCAGGAUUCGGUAGUAACCGAAGCCAUCAUGAUAAUGUCCUUCCUCCUCCAUUGUUCGAUCACCGAAGCCAUCAUGAUAAUGUCCUUCCUCCAGGAUUCGGUAGUCACCGAUGUCGCUGACCAAAAGUUCGACAUUACUACCGUCGCCGUGGAUUAUAUCCCCCAAAAUUUCUUCUUUUUCCAUGUCUCUUUGGAAUAUCCAUUGUUUCUGGAAAUAUUACUAAGUGGGGGGGGAAGCCCUUUAUACAUAAUCCCAAAUAUUAACAUGAAAACUUAAUUUGUAACUUAAUCUAAUCUAAAUAUUUUUAUAAUUUUUAUAACUUUAUUUGCUAUUGAAACUGAAUAUAAUCUAAAUAUUUUUAUAACUUUUAUAACUUGUGUCACAUUGGGGAGUUAAAAAAUGUACCCAACAUAUUCUAAUAUGACUGUAAUACACACACAGGGAUUCACAAUUAGACUACGUCCUCUCACACACAUAGAUUCGCAAAUAGGGAGAUGGAGAGAUCAAUGGACGUGCUACCGGUGCGUCGACGGGCAACGAUGGUGGGCUUCGGAACGACGACGGGCGACGACAACGACGGCGAUGGGCACGGGGGCUACGGCAACGACGACGACGACGACGAUGGGUGGAGACGGGUGACUACAAUGACUGCAAUGGGCUCGGGGGUGACGGCGACGGUGAUGGGCUCGGGGACAACAGCGACGACGAUGGGCUCGGGGGCGACGGCGACAACGACGGGCUCGGGAGCGACAGUGACAGUGAUGGGCUCGGGGCGACGACGGGCUCGUGAGCGACGGCGACGGCGACGACGGGCUCGUGGAGGAGACGCGGGCCGGCGGCGACGGGCUCGGGUGCGACGGUGAGGAAGAGAGAACGGGGGGGAUGGAAGUUGGUGGAAAUUUCGACAACUCCCACAAUAUACGAACACCUUUGUUCCGGCUGGUGGCCCCAACCGGGACCAAAGCACACCUUUAGUCCCGGGUUGUUACACCAACCGGGACUAAAGGUCAAUUUCGACAACUCCCGCACUAUAUGCAAAAACCUUUGGUUUCGGUUUGUGGCACCAACCGGGACCAAAGCCACACUUCCGAUGGCCCAAAAGGGCGGGAAGAAGAGUACUUUCGUACCGGUUGUUGGCUAGAACCGGGACAAAAGGUCCGUCGGCCCAUUUGAUAUUUUUCAUACAUUUACUGAUUUUUGUUUUGAGCUAAAUGACUCUUAAAUUUGAAAAGCACUACAAAUGAACUCUGAAAAUGUUGAAAGUUGGCAUGGUAUAAUCAUUUCACGCACAUGGCAUGUGCUAAAAAGUUGAGAGGGUUGCGGCAAAAACUAGAUGCACAUCGUGUUCAAAAGAGACAGUCUCCUUCGAAGUAUUAGGGUUUAAUACGAAAACUCAUCUGUUACAAAGGGAUUUCAUUUUUUUGAACUUAUUUGAACUCCAGACUUUUUGUGUGUUCAAAAUUCACCAUUCAAAGACACAAUAUCCAUUUUAACUAUUUCUAACUUCAUUUGGUAUUUUCAUGCAUUUAGUGAUUUGUUUUGAGCUAAAUGACCAUUAAAUUGAAAAGCAUUACAAAUGAACUCUGAAAAGGUUGAAAGUUGGCAUGGUAUCAUCAUUUCACCCACAUAGCAUGUGCUGAAAAGUUGAGAGGGUUGCGGCAAAAACUGGAUGCACUUUGUGUACAAAACGGACAAUCUCUUUCAAAGUAUCAGGGUUUCAUACGAAAACUCAUCUGUUACAAAGGGAUUUCAUUUUUUGAACUUAUUUGAACUCCAGACUAUUUGUGUGUUCAAAAUUCACCAUUCAAAGACACAAUAUCAAUUUUUAACCAUUUCUCACUUCAUUUGGUAUUUUUCAUGCAUUUAGUGAUUUGUUUGAGCUAAAUGACCAUUAAAUUGAAAAGCACUACAAAUGAACUCAGAAAAGGUUGAAAGUUGGCAUGGUAUCACCAUUUCUACCCACAUAGCAUGUGCUAAAAAGUUGAGAGGGUUGCGGCAAAAACUGGAUGCACUUCGUGUACAAAACAGACAAUCUCUUUCGAAGUAUGAGGAUUUCAUAGGAAAACUCAUCUGUUACAAAGGGCAUUUCAUUUCUUCACUUUUUCUUCUCUUGUGUUCCUUUCUUAUUUCACCGUAAGCGUGGAUAAUCUUCAUCGUUUAAUAGGGUGCUUGGGUCAGCCUUGACUUUGAAGGGAUGAAUUUCAUGAAACUUUUCAUAAUCUUCAGACAUGUCUGUCUUGCCCUACAAUCCCACGAUGUCUCUUUUUCCUAAAAGAACUAUGUGGUGCUUUGGCUCAUCGUAUGAUGUAUUCGCUUCCUUAUAUUUUCAUAUUCUCGGUUUGGUAGACAUGUCCUUCCUAUAGAAAACUGCGCCACAUCAUUGGCUAGGACGAAUGGUUCCUCUCCGUGUGCAAGAUUGUUCAGAUCCACUGUUGUCAUUCCAUACUGUGGGUCUAUCUGUACCUCGCCUCCUGACAGAUUGACCCAUUUGCAAUGAAACAAAGGGACCUUCAAAUCAUGUCCAUAGUCAAGUUCCCAUAUGUCCACUAUGUAACCAUAAUAUGUGUCCUUUCCCCUCUCGGUUGCUGCAUCAAAGCGGACACCGCUGUUUUGGUUGGUGCUCUUUUGAUCUUGGGUGAUCGUGUAAAAUGUAUUCCCAUUUAUCUCGUACCCUUGGUAACUCAAUACAGUCGAAGAUGGUCCCCUGGCCAAGGAGUACAACUCAUCAGAAACGGUGUUGUCACACAUAAGACGUUUUUGCAACCAACUAUUGAAAGUCCUGAUGUGUUCAAAUGUAAUCCAGUUGUCACACUACUCCGGGUGUAUGGAGCUCAGAAUAUUCUUGUGUUCAUCGACAUACGGGGUCACCAAGGUAGAAUUCUGUAGAACUGUGUAGUGUGCUUGAGACCAAGAAUGCCCGUCCGUACACAUUAUUGACUCCGCUCCUAGUGUGCCUUUUCCAGUCUGUCUCCCCUCAUACCGCGAUUGAGGGAGACCAUUCUUCUUAAGGUCAGGAAUGAAGUCAACACAAAGUCCAAUGACAUCCUCUGUUUGAUGGCCCAUGGAGAUUCUUCCUUCUGGCUUAACGCGGCUACGAACAUAUUUCUUUAAGACUCCCAUGAACCUCUCAAAGAGGAACAUAUUGUGUAAAAAUACACGGCCCAGAACGACAAUAUCGUCGACUAGAUGAACUAGGAUGUGCGUCAUGAUAUUGAAGAAGGAUGGUGGGAACACCAGCUCGAAACUAACAAGACAUUGCACCAAAUCACUCCUUAACCUUGGCAGGAUUCCUGGAUCGAUCACCUUCUAAGAGAUUGCAUUGAGGAAUGCACAUAGCUUCACAAUGGCUAAUCGAGCGUUUUCCGGUAGAAGUCCCCUCAAUGCAACCCGAAGCAGUUGUGUCAUAAUCACGUGGCAGUCAUGAGACUUUAGGUUCUGAAACUUUUUCUCUGCCAUGUUUAUUAUUCCCUUUAUAUUCGACGAGAAGCCAGACGGGACCUUCAUACUGAGCAGGCAUUCAAAGAAGAUUUCCUUCUCUUCUUUGGUAAGAGCGUAGCUGGCAGGACCUUCAUACUGCUCUGGUUGCAUGUCGUCUUUUUCAUGCACACGUUGAUGUUCCUCCCGUGCCUCCGAUGUAUCUUUUGUCUUACCAUACACUCCCAAGAAGCCUAGCAGGUUCACGCAAAGAUUCUUCGUCAUGUGCAUCACGUCGAUUGCAGAGCGUACCUCUAGGUAUUUCCAAUAGGGUAGGUCCCAAAAUAUAGAUUUCUUAUUCCACAUGGGUGCGUGUCCCGCAUCGUCAUUCGGAACAGAUAGUCCGCCAAGACCCUUUCCAAAGGUUACUUGUAAAUCAUUGACCAUAUCAAGUAUGUGAUCACCAGUACGGAGGGCGGGCUUCUUCUGGUGAUCUGCCUCACCUUUGAAAUGCUUUCCUUUCUUUCGACAUUGAUGGUUGGUCGGAAGAAAUCGAUGAUGCCCCAUGUACACAUUCUUCCUGCAUUUGUCGAAAUAUAUACUGUUGGUGUCAUCUAAAUAGUGUGUGCAUGCGUUGUAUCCCUUGUUUGUCUGUCCUGAAAGGUUACUGAGAGCAGGCCAAACGUUGAUGGUUACAAACAGCAACGCAUGUAGAUCAAAUUCCUCCUGUUCGUUCUCAUCCCACACACGUACACCAUUUCCAUUCCAUAGUUGUAAAAGUUCAUCAACUAAUGGCCUUAGGUACACAUCAAUGUAUUUGUCGGGUUGCCUAGCGCCUUGGAUGAGCACUGGCGUCAUAAUAAACUUCCGCUUCAUGCACAACCAAGGAGGAAGGUUAUACAUACAUAGAGUCACAGGCCAUGUGCUAUGCUUGCUGCUCUACUCCCCAAAAGGAUUAACGCCAUCUGCACUUAAACCAAACCAUGCAUUCCUUGGGUCACGUGUAAAGUUGCUUCACUUCCUCUCGAUCUUUCUCCAUUGCGACCCGUCAGCGGGUGCUCUCAACUUUCCGUCUUUCUUACGGUCUUUUAUAUGCCAUUGCAUCAACUCGGCCUGCUUUUUGUUUCUAAACAUAUGUUUCAACCGUGGUAUUAUAGGAGCAUACCACAUCACCUUGGCAGGAACCAUCUUCCUGGUGCGCUGGCCCUCAACAUCACCAGGGUCAUCUCAUCUGAUCUUAUACCGCAAUGUGCCGCAUACUGGGCAUGCGUUCAAAUCCUCGUAUGCACCACGGUAGAGGAUGUAGUCAUUACGGCAUGCAUGUAUCUUCUGCACCUCCAAUCCUAGAGGGCAUAGAACCUUCUUCGAUUCAUAUGUACUGUCGGGCAAUUUGUUAUCCUUUGGAAGCUUCUUCUUCAUUAACUUCAUUAGCGAACUAAAUGCCUUAUGAGAUACACCAUUGUGUGCCUUCCAUUGCAGCAAUUCCAGUGUGGUACCGAGCUUUGUGUUGUCAUCUUCGCAAUUUGGAUACAACCCUUGUUUGUGAUCCUCUAACAUGUGAUCGAACUUCAACUUUUCCCUUUCACUUCCGCAUUGUCUAUGUGCAUCAACAAUGAACCGACGAAGAUCAUCAUUGGGCACAUCGUCUGGUUCAUCUUGAUCUUCAGCUUCCCCCAUUGCAGCAUCACCAUAUUCAGGGGGCCGGGUAGUUGUCAUCAUCCUCUUCUUCUACGUUGUCUUCCAUCAUAACCCCUCUUUCUCUGUGCUUUGUCCAAACAUUAUAGUGUGGCAUAAAACCCUUCUAAAGCAGGUGAAGGAUUUUAUAGUCGGAGAAUUCCUUUGUAUUCCCACAGACAGUACAUGGACAAUGCAUAAAACCAUUCUGCUUGUUUGCCUUAGCCGCUUCGAGAAAAUUAUGCAGGCCAUUAAUAUACUCGGAGGUGCGUCGGUCACCGUACAUCCAUUGAAGGUUCAUCUGCGUGCGUUAUAUAACAAAGUGUAUUAAAAACUACACAAAUCUUGAUGAAAAUGGAGUUUGGACAAGGAGCUUCUAAAGGAGAAAGCUUAAGUAUGGCUCGGGCAUUUCAUUGAACACCUCAUGUGCAUAGGAGGUGAGCUAGAGCACCACAAAGCUCUCCCAUGGCCGGCCGAAAAAACAGAGCAGUGCACUUCUCUGCUCGCGAGGGUAUAUGUAGGCCAAUCGUUGGUCCCAGUUAUUGGCUGGAACAGAGACCAAAGGACAACCUAAGGUCUCGGUUCCAGCCACAAACUGGGACUACUAGUUGUGGGCCAGGAGCGAGGCACAUUGGUCCCGGUUCGUGUCUGGAACCGGGACCGAAGGUGACAAACGAACCAAGACAAAUGGCCCACAAGGCCCGGCCGGUGCCCUGGCCUCACGAACCGGGACCUAUCACCACAUAGGUCCCGGUCCAUGAGUGAACCGGGAUUAAUGGGAUUUCAUCAAGUGGACCAAAGCCCUAUUUUCUACUAGUGACAUGAAACAUUAGAUGAGUAUGCCAUACAUGGCAUCGAACAACCAAAUGGGAUGGGAAGUUCAUUACAUUGCAUCGGACAACCAAAAGACAGAGCUAGUUCAACACCGGAUUCUACUACUACUUCAUAUAUAGUCCUUCUUGUCCUUUUUAGUCUUCAUCCAAAGUCAAAGUAUCUCUACUUUGACCAAAUUUAUAGAAAAAGUAUCAACCUUCAUAAUGCCAAAUAAAUAUUCUUAGAUCCAAUGUGAAAUGUAGUUUCAUAGUAUAUAUAUUUGGUAUUGUAGAUAUAGAUAGUUUUGAAUAUAAAUUUGUUCAAAGUUUGCAAACUUUGACUUAACAGAAAUCUAAUACGCGGAGUAAAAAGGACCAGAGAGAGUACAUAUACUAUGAAAUUAUACUAGGAAAAGAGAAUACCACCGCUUUGACUUGCCAUGCCCCUUGUCAUAUCUAGGGCGGUGGUAGUACAUGGUGAAGACCGCGCGAGGGUCAUCGCCCGAUGAGCGUUAGAGUAGGAGGAGCUGGUGAUGCAGGAGGAUGGGGAGGGGUAGGGGGCGGUGAGGAGUCAGGCGAUGCAAGCCCGCUCUACGACGGGCUUUUGUUAUCGUCUUCACUUUCCGAGCCACUUCCCACUCGAUGCAUCGAUGCCCUCUCGCAAUGCCUUCACAUUUUUGCGGCAACGAGUGUUCGUCAUUGUGGAGAUCAAUGACCAGCGCAUUACUUCAUGUAAUACAUGGUCAUCGAAGUUGGGCAGGAGACCAACAAUUGUAGCGGACUAGCUAGAUCGAACCUUGUCACAAGCCUUCUGCCGAGCACGCCACACUGCCCGCGUCAAAGGCUCGGAGGACGCCACCGAGCAUCAAUUUGUUGGAGAUAUGCCAUAGAGGCAAUAAUAUUGUAUUUUGCAUUUCCAUAUUCAUAGUUAAGACUUUAUAUUCUAUGCCAUAACUGCUAGGAUCCUAGAAUAUGUGAUUCAGUGGAAAACUCAUAUGCAUGUGUGGAAUAGUAAAUGGUUAAAUAGAGAUUCACAGUGUUGCCUCUAAUACUGGCUCAAGUGUAGUGGGUGAUCUCAUUUUUUGGAUCUUAGGAUAUCAUCAUGUGCAAUGAUGAUCUUAAAACAACAUUGAGACUACGACAUUAGAACAAUGAUCAUAUUGAAUCGACCAAAUACUUGUUUGUUAUACUUUGAGAUAAUAUCUUCUCAAAUCAAUUGGUAUAACACAAAGUGUUAACAUGUGUUUUAUGUUCCUUAUACCAUGACAGUGUCGUAGUCACUUCUUAUCAUAUGCCGAGCUUUGGGGUUGCUCAAACAUCAUUUGUACCUAGGUGAUCAUAACGACAACUUACACGUUCAUCAGAAAUUUUGACAGGGGACUAGAUAGUUCGAGAGUGGGAUUUUCUCCUCCAAUGAUGGAGAGUUAUUAUUAGGGCCCUCUCCGUGUGACAAAAUCAAUCAUCAUAUGGCCAGACACAGGUGACUUAGUCACGUGGACGCCUAAACAUGAAAACGAGAAAGAAGAACAAAAACAGCAACGAGGAUAACAGUAUAGUGAGUGUGUGAUGACUCAUGAGGAUAUGGAUGCAUCUCGGGUUUAAAAGUAUCGCAAAGAAAAUUUAAUGUCACAUGGUAAUCAAAGGUUCACUCUAAUAUCAUUCAUGUGCUCAUAGGGAUCGAUAUGGACGUCCACGGUCCCGCUACCGGUCAUUGAACAAAGGGGUUUCGUUCAUGAGUUAUCGAACCUACGGGGUCACAAGACUAAGGCUAUCACAAUCUUCUGAGUGUUAGUAGUACGGGGGAGAUGAGAACAUGUUUUUGAAAUUGUUUCAUUAUUGUAUGAAAUAGUUUCGAGAGGACCCGGAAGCGUUUCGGGGUCACCAUAAGGGCCCCGGAGAGUAUCGGGUAAUACCGGCGAUUGCUGAUAAAUAAUAUAUAGGUGGAAAUGUUUUGUAGCAUGUUAAAUUAUAUAUAAAAUGGACUGAAAGUGUUAAGAAUAAUUUUAUAUUUUAUUUAAUAAUAAUGGGCCUUAAAAGACCAAGAGGUGGAAGGCAACUUGGGCCACAAGAGCCCAAUGGGAAGGUGCCUCCCUUCCCUAAGGAAGGGGGCCGAAUUGAUGAGGGGGAGGAGUUGGACUCCUCUUCCCUUGUCCGGCCAAAAGGGAGGGACUCAUUCCCCUUGUGGCGCCCUCCUUCUCUCCUCCAACCUAUAUAUACUCGAGGUAUUUGCACCUAUUGUAUACACAAGUUUUGGAGCCGCUUCUAGUUCAUCUAGUUCUAGUUCUAGUUGGUCCUAGUUGACUAAUCAGAGCUCGGUCUAGUUCCUCAAAUCCUCAUAAUUAGAAGGCUAGUGUGAUUCUAAUCUUCUCCCUCUAAUUCUCAAGUGACGAUUAGCUUUGGAUGACAAAGCGAUGUCGGAUCAUGAAGAUCGUACACUUGCAACCAAGUAGAGAGGUUGUGUUUUUGUCUUCGGUUCGAGGGAUUGUUCAUCUAUGAUUCAAGGAACUCCAAGCUUGGUCUUCAUCAUCACGUUCUUGUUUUGCUCCUACUCGGUGAUGGUAACGGUCGUGAUCCCAACCAUUAUUAUAUCUUCAUAGUGUUCCUCGUUGCUUGCGUGGCGUUUUUUGUUUUCUACUAUGUUUCCCAACACCAACAAUGCCCAAGAAUGCAUGCUGGCGACAACACACCAUAUACACAUGAGCAGCGUCGGGACACCAAGGACGGUGUGGAGUGCCUUAACUAACAACUCCAUUCACCCUAUCCGCAACUUGGGACGGUGCGAAGCUCAAAGAGUCUCCAUAGUCAACCCACGAGCGGUGGAGGGCCAGCUACUCGUCGGACAAUUAGAGCUAGAAUCCUCCGCCACCACCAUAUCCCAAUCAAUGGGGCUUAAUCGGAUCUUGAUCCACUACCGGAGCUGUAUAUGGUGGCUUGGGAUGGUGAGGACUAGAUGACAAGGAGGGAGUAGAGCAAUCGAGAGUGAGGGCUAGGGUUUGGUCCGGGUAGGAUAGAGUGGGGUUUAUGUGGUGUCAGAGUGGGACCAAUAGGGGUUGUUUUACGUGGUGUGUUACACAAUCUCGGGUCCGCUAACACCAGCCUUUCCGACCCACAUGCAUCAACAGGACAAACAGGAGAGCAACACCGACUUAUGACAGGCCUGGGGCCCUCUCCCCCCAAAAGACUAGCCUUUUAGGAGGGGACACCCUCACCCUUAUAAGUCGUGUUAUGUCUCCUCCCACAACCAAUGUGGGACUAAACCCAACAAUCUCCCCCUCACACAUCGCUCACCCAUGGGCCCGCUAAUACCAGCGUCUCCAGCCCACCUACCAUGACCGACCACCCGUGAGUCCACCGAGAUUUAUUCUGGGCACCUGGGCUCUGAUACCACUUGUUACACAAUCCCGGGUCCGCUAACACCAGCGUUUGCGACCCACAUGCGUCAACGGGCCCAACUGGAGACGUUCUCUUCGUACAAGUCUGGUGAUUUUGGUUUAGCCUAUAUGAGCGAUGACACUGGUUAUCGUGUUGUACAUCGGUUGUGGGAGGAGAAGUUACACGACUUAUAAGGGUGAGGGUGUCCCCUCCUAACAGGCUAGUCUUUUGGGGAGAGAGGGCCCAAGGCCUGUCAUAAGUCGGUGUUGCUCUCCGGUUGGGCCUGUUGACGCAUGUGGGUCGGAAACGCUGGUGUUAGCGGACCCGAGAUUGCGUAACAAGUGGUAUCAUGAGCAAGGUUACGACGAGGUCGUUGUGCAUUGAUCUAGAGGAUGAAGAACAAUUGGAAGCAGUUGGAUCGAAAGCUUUACGGCGGAAGAAUUGCGAGGCUACGAAGUAGAUCGGUCAAAAUAUCAGUCGAUGAUGUGGCAGCGACGUGUGGUCGUUCGUCGUACAAGCGACAUCUCGAUUGGCUGGGCUUUUGGCGUACAUGCAAGUCGCGCGUGGUGUUGGGAGAGGCCCAGGUGCAGCGAUAUAUCUCCUGUCAAAUCGCGCGUGGCGUUGGCAGAGGCCCAGGUGCAGCGAUAUAUCUCAUGUCAAAAAGCUAUCAUACAUAGCAGCAUAAUUAGAUUUGUUUGGAAACAAAAAUUAACAAGACCGAGUCCUGGAAGAACUCGUGUUGGACAGGAACCUGGAGGUGCGCUAUUAUAUAUAGCCGCAAGGGCCGGGCACCUGAUGUGACGAAAAUAACAGCAGAUCAACCGGCAAAGAAAGUCCAUUGAUACGCAUUAGUACAUCGGAAAGCAUCAGGCUUUGGCAAAGCAAUUAACAUCAAGCGUCCAGAUUUGUGCUUUCGAGUAGAUCACGUGGAAGGCCAAUUUAUUUUGGUGGAUUGCUACUAGUGCACAGAGGCGAGACCAUGUGGGUUUUGCUCGUGCACUUCAGCAUCACGGGGAUAACUCGGGUAUUUUUUCACACAAUCAGCCGUACAAAGAACCAUGGCGCCAGUGGGUACCAGGUUUGAGGUGGAGAAGUUCGACGGGACUGGAAGCUUUGGGUUAUGGCAGACAAGGGUGAAAGAUUUGUUGGGAGAACAGGGAUGCUUGAAGGCGUUGUUGCAGGAAGCCAAGCCAGCUAAGAUGGAGGCUGAGGACUGGGAGGAGUUACAGUUGAGGACAUCUGGAACUAUACGGUUGUGUCUGUCGGACCAGGUUAUUUAUCAUGUGAUGGAUGAGAAUUUGCCGAAGAAGAUCUGGGAGAAGCUGGAGAGUCAAUUUAUGUCCAAGACUGCUACGACCAAGGUGUAUCUGAAGCAAAAGUUGUAUGGGAUGAAUAUGCGGGAGGGGUCAGAUCUUGUGGAGUAUAUGAACGCCUUUAAUCAAGUCGUGAUAGAUCUAGCACGCUUGGGUGCAACGAUUGACGACGAGGAUAGGGCAAUUCUGCUUCUUUGUUCAUUGUCAUCAUCCUAUGACCAUUUGAUCACUACUUUGACGCAUGGCAAGGAGACUGUCAAGAAUGAGGAUAUUACUGCAGCCUUGCUAUCUUAUCAUAUGAGAAAGAAGAAUGCAGUGGAAGUCUCUCAUAGUGAAGGUUUGCUAGUCAAGGGUGAAGCGUAGCGAAAGGGAUAUGAGGCAGGGAAGAAAAAGAAAAGAAAAUAAAAUACAGUGUCACAAGUGUAAGCAGAGGGGACAUAUUAAAAAGGACUGUCUAGAGCUUAAUGGUGGGUCAAGUGCUAAUAUGACAAUUCAUGGUGAUGACUCAGACAUCAGUAGUGAUGCCCUUGUAGUAUCAGACAAGCGGUCAACCAAAAGUGAAGCGUGGAUGUUGGAUUCAGCUUGCUCUUUUCAUGCGACACCCAACAAGGAGUGGUUCUCUUCGUACAAGUCUGGUGAUUUUGGUUUAGCCUAUAUGGGCGAUGACACUGGUUAUCGUGUUGCUGGAGUAGGUGACAUUAAAAUAAAGAUGUUUGACGGAGUUGAGCGGAUGCUUCGGGGAGUCAGGCAUGUGCCGGGGUUAAGGAGGAAUCUAAUUUCGCUUGGAGUUCUUCAUGAUGGUGGUAUGGUAUUCCGUUGUGAUCGGGAUAAUAAGACCAUGGAAAUCAUGGAAGAUAAGGUGACUGUGAUGAUUGGAGCGAGGAAAGCUUCACAUCUUUACAAGUUGCAAGGAAGCACUAUUGCAGGUGGAGUCACGGAGACUGGAAUUGCAGGAGUAGCAACAGGAUCCCACGGAGGCGGCGGGUCUGGGGAAGAAUCAUCGGGUAGCUCUCGGUAAGCUACAAAGAAGACAACACAAGUCCGGAGUACACGGAAGUUUGACGCAUGGACACAUUCAAAGGGGUGAAGAAUAUUCGCCAAGGUGGAGUUUGUUAGAGUUGUGUCGAAUAUUGUGUACGAGUUGGGUUACAUAUGGACUUGGUGUUGUAGUUUGGGUAGGAUACAUGUAGUGUUGUAGUCGGACAUGUUGUACCCUUGGCCUCUUAUAUAUGAGGAGGCACCCCACGUUGUAACCUAUGACUACUAGAUAGCGACAGGCUCGCAAGGGGGGAGCCGGGGCUUGUGCCGACGCCCGGGUGGCCGGUGUUGCGGUAUCUCGGGGAGGAGCGCCCGUAGUCAUUGCCCCGGGGAGUAGGCGAGUUCGCCGAACCUCGUUAACAAAUCUCGGUCUCGUUAUUGUGCUGUGAUUGUUUGUCCCUCGGUGGAUCGACUACGUACCUCGGAUUUAUUCGUAACAUGGUGGACGUGUCUGCGCAUGUGUGAGCCGCCCAAAUCAGCUACAGAUAUGAGCUGAAUUUGAGGGGCGUUGAACGAUCGUGAACAUUUAGGCUCGAUUUGAAGGGUUAACUUGGACGAGGUCGAGAAGUCUCAACUUGAGUAAAGGAUUUAUAAAUGUUGGGUUAUCCAGAGUGUCCACGUGGAUAAAUAAAGGGAAUAUAUAGGGUCUAACGGAGAUCAUCUUUGAGACACGAAAGCAUUUCAAAACAUAGAACCAGACAACCAACAUUCAAGCCAACUCCAACGCGCUGAUGCAUUUGAUCUGCACAUGUCCGUAUAUGCCGAAAUGGACAGAAGCGACGUCUCAACAUGUUGACGCAUCCACAAAUGUGGUCCGCUCAAUGACCGUCUCGACAAAUAUCAGGAUCAAAUUUGCGGCCGAUUUGCAUCCACAAAGAGAACACAUGUCAUCUUUGUGUCCGUUCUAACUCGCAUGUUGGACUACCAACCAAUGCCCAAUCAUUGUGAAUGCAAACCAACCAUCUUAGGCCCGCUUGUCACCGACACGAAGAAUCCAGUCCACGUUCUUUUAAAUGGCCAUGCGUGCUCCCUUUCUGGCCGACACAAACCCUAGCCUCUGUCGUCGCCAUGGGCUUCGUCAUCCACAAGCAUGACCAUGAGGCUCGAUCUUCACGUAGCCCGGCCAAUUUAACGCUGGCGUCGGGAUGGGGGCGAUGACCAUGCUACCGACUCUACAUUUCGGUGCAUUGUGCUUAGUACCAAUGGGAGUACUGUGUCCAAUUGUCAUGGCUGAACAUCAACCUUCUACACAGUUGGCAUCUCGACAGCCAUUAGAUUCCGGUGACGGUCGUGCUGCAGUCUGGGCAUGUACGUGCAGUAGAGAUCUGCAACCUCCAUGCUCUUAUCGUGCCGGAGCAACACCGCGACCCUGCAUACAUGCUCGACUCCCUGAAUUGGGACAUCUAAUUCACGGUUGAGCACGCCAUGAGCCGUCGUGGCGUCGUCUAGAUCGACGAUCGCCCCCAUCGCCAUCGUCGAUGGAGAAGGAGGACGACAAAGAGGUGGCCUACCAAGCGGCACUGGAGGAGGCGAUCCAGCGCGCCAUCGAGGAGUCCAAGUGUGUGAAGGAUGCUCGGUGACCUAGCCUCAAGGAGGCGUUGCAGCAUUCGGUGGCCGGUGAGAACGUCUAUCCACUACGACCUUCAUCACCACCGCCAUCGUCCGCACCCGCGCCCAUGCUCGAGACGUAUCAAUGGGUGGGCGUUGUGCCCAGGUAUAUCUCUAGGUCGCCAGUUUGGCUAUGCGUGAUGGAGGAUGGGGAGCGAUAGUACCUUGCGCAGUGGGAGGGCCGCGCGGUGGUAUCAAAUUGGGCAGACUUGGAGCAUCCGAUGCAAUCAUUGUGCAAGGAGGAGGCCGAGCGGCGCGCGCAGGAGGAAAAGAUGCAGUGUCACGCAACGCCGCCACCGCCACCGCGUCAGCAAACGACACUGGCAGCCUACCAGCAUGCUUUCCCAUGGGCGGCGUUGCUGAGUACGUCGACCUAACCAUGGAGGGCAAGCAUGACGACGAUGAUGCCUAGGGCUGCGGGCUGGGGCACCGAGCGCAUGAGAGUGGUAUUUUUAGUUUAAAUAUUUUUUGUUUUAAUUAAUUAUUAAGUGGGCUUCGACCAGCAUUCCAAUAUGCAUGUUUUAUUUUAAAAAAUUUAUGCCUAUUGAGUUGUUUGUAAGUUGUGGCGUCGGCCAAAUGCUUUGGCCACAUUUGGGCGCCCCGAUGGCCCAAGGCCACAAUCGAACACAUUUGUCCGCUCGAACGACUCAAACAAGCAAAAAACAAAAAAUAUGUGUCUAUUUGCGCGUGGGUGGGGAUGCACACGUCUCGCAAUGCCUGGGCGACAGCCGGAGAAGUACAAAGACGAUGCCGGAGGAGGAGGAGGAUGAGGAUGCACUGCAAGAGGGAGUUGGGGUCGAGUGAAAGAAAAGUGACCCGAGAUGAGAAUUCGAGUGGAUCGGGGGUGUCGGAGUCCCACGUCAUUGCGGUUCAGAAUACCACAAAGCUCCCCAAUUUUGUGAUCGGUUUACAAAAAAUUAGACAAACGAACGCAUCCACGCACAAAUGCAUGUGUGUUGAAUGGCAAACUACACGGUUCAAACGUAUGUGGGCGUUUUGAGGGUCUACUUGAAGAUGCCUCGAGUGUUCUUCCUUUAUUUGUUCGGACCUACCGUUAUAAUUUUUCUGAAUAGAUGUUUCAAAAAUCUGAAAAUAAAUUAUUUGUGUUCACUAGACAUUUGUCCACAACCCUAUGCUUUGAGUUUGGAUCUGUAUUUCUGAAGAGCUGCGUACACAUGUGUGGUGAACAUUCGCGAUUAUUUUCUGAAUAUUUUAAUUUGAAUUUUUAUAAUUUGGAAGUAAGAGUGACACCUGAUACACUUAUACGACAUUUUCCGUGGCGGGGGUACCCAGAAUACGUGUCACCCGUUUCAGCCGUUAGCAAGCGUCGGUGCUGCCAUUGCCGACAGUCGACAUCUGGGGUUCCCUGUUCAGCAGGUAAUUAUCACAUUCAGAGGAAGGACACGUAUCUCCACGUUAUUGGCUAGUGCUUUCUUUCAUUUUUCUUUUUUGCAUAAAUCCACUUGCGAUUGUGACCACAAGAGCUUUAGCUGAUUCCAUAUCUGCCACUUUAUCUUAAAGAGGUAACCCGCUGAGAUUUGUGCGAACAAAGUUCAUUUCGUGACUGCGGUUCUUCACGGUCAAGCACUAAAAAAAGGGACAGAUAGACAUUAACACUGUCAGCCUGCUCUUAGUUCAAGUACCUUUACGAAGGAUUGUUAUAGAAAUUUGGAGGAUCAAAAUCAUAAGAAAUUUUUCUGUGUUAUUCGUCUGAUUAGUAGAAGUAAGUUUCAUAGGAAUUCUCAGGCAGCACUUUACACUAAACGAUUUUAAAAUAAUUUGUAUCCACUCAAAGCUCUUAGUAAUAACCAUGGAUUAGAAAGACUACGUUCAUUCUUAUCCUACACAAAAAUGAUUGUUAUCCUACACAAAAAAACUGAACAAGGUUAGUCUGUCUAAUACAAAAACUUCUAUUUUUCUACAACACUCAAAUAGAGAUUGAAGUGUGCUACUAUUUUACAUUACAAUUUUCUCUUCCCCUGUCUGUCUUAUUAUAUCCGAAGAUAUUUUCUUCUCCACUACCAAACUCAACCACACAAGUAGCUUUCCCUCUUGUCGCCGAUCCCAUCCACACCUUCCUCCACCUAUAAAAUCGAACCCCUACCAUCUAUCCUCUUCACUCCCUCUGCUACUAGCCUCACCACUCUUAAGCGACAAAAGAUUGUUGCUACCAGCACCUAAGCUUGAAUGGAGGGUGAGAAGAACUCGUCCGGGGACCUGAUGUCCAGCAGCAAGCUGGUCGCGGAGGCCGCCAGGACAGCCUACGAGAAGAAGAGCGUCGAGGGCAUCGACAAGGAAAAGGUAGCCGCCGCCUCCGCCGAUAUCCUGGACUCCGCCGCCAAGUACGGCAAGCUAGAGGACAAGCCGGUGGGCCAGUACCUCGAGAAGGCCGAGGAGUACCUGAAACAGUACAGCUCCGGCGGUGCAGAGAAGACUGAUGCACCUGCUGCCGCUGACGCACCGAAGCCGGAUGCACCCAAGGAGCCAGCGCCUGCGCCUGCACCUGCACCCGCCGUGGAGGAAGAGAAAUCGUCCGACGGGUUCGGUCUCGACGACGUCAUGAAGGGGGCUGCAUCGCUAUCAGGGAAGAAGGGUGACGGGGAGGAGAAGGAGAGCGGCGGCGGCGGCUUCAUGAAGAUGGCUCAGGGGUUCAUGAAGUAGAAGUCGGGUUUCUGCUUCUACUACAUGCAUGUAGCUCUUGCUAAGUUCGUGCGCUGCGUUCCUUUUUUGUAUUUUAUUACUGUAUAAAAUAAUAACGUCGUGGUUGCG
rnacentral:lncRNA from 1 species